AUGCAGUCGAGCGCACUCUUCGGAGUGAGCGGCGGACGGGUUAGUAACGCGUGGGAAUAUGCCCUUCACUACGGAAUAGCCUCGGGAAACUGAGAGUAAUACCGUAUACGCCCUUUGGGGGAAAGAUUUAUCGGUGAAGGAUUAGCCCGCGUCUGAUUAGAUAGUUGGUGGGGUAACGGCCUACCAAGUCGACGAUCAGUAGCUGGUUUGAGAGGAUGAUCAGCAACACUGGGACUGAGACACGGCCCAGACUCCUACGGGAGGCAGCAGUGGGGAAUCUUAGACAAUGGGCGCAAGCCUGAUCUAGCCAUGCCGCGUGAGUGACGAAGGCCUUAGGGUCGUAAAGCUCUUUCGCCAGGGAUGAUAAUGACAGUACCUGGUAAAGAAACCCCGGCUAACUCCGUGCCAGCAGCCGCGGUAAUACGGAGGGGGUUAGCGUUGUUCGGAAUUACUGGGCGUAAAGCGCGCGUAGGCGGAUUGGAAAGUUGGGGGUGAAAUCCCGGGGCUCAACCCCGGAACUGCCUCCAAAACUAUCAGUCUAGAGUUCGAGAGAGGUGAGUGGAAUUCCAAGUGUAGAGGUGAAAUUCGUAGAUAUUUGGAGGAACACCAGUGGCGAAGGCGGCUCACUGGCUCGAUACUGACGCUGAGGUGCGAAAGUGUGGGGAGCAAACAGGAUUAGAUACCCUGGUAGUCCACACCGUAAACGAUGAAUGCCAGACGUCGGGGGGGCUUGCCCUUCGGUGUCACACCUAACGGAUUAAGCAUU
rnacentral:rRNA from 1 species